UUCUCCAACUAAAGGCAAAAUUUUAAUCACCAUAUUUCCCGGCAUCAAAGACGCUAUUUUUUCCCCCACAAAAGUAAGUCUCGAAAAUCUACCAUGCAUCCUGGAGGCCGAAGGUUGUGUAGCCGUAACGGAAAUGUCUAGCAGAACCUGUCACUGUUUUGUGGUUCUCCGGAAGCCAGGGGAUUCAACACCAGUGACCUCCCUUGGCAAACAUUCUGGAAUGUUCCAAGCAUAGCAGAUUUACGUCCCUUUUAGUAAUGCCACUAUGGCAUAAAACGUUCUAGUAGGGUUUUAGUUGUUAGGCGGAGCCAACAGGAAUUCAGCCAAUAUAUGGGACGGAGAAAUCUGUUUUUCUUCUCUCCUUCACUGAAUUUCGACUUGGACUAAUCGUCGUUGUGGAGAACAGCUUAGUUCAUCCACAAAUAAAUACUUCCUGCAGCAACCGUGUGUGACAGGCCUUUUAUACUACAUGACAUAUGUACGAAUCAAUCCUACAUUUGUGAUUAGUAUUCCCUGUAGCCAAAAAGUGGGGUUUUUUUU